CAGCCGCGGUAAUUCCAGCUCCAAUAGCGUAUAUUAACGUUGUUGCAGUUAAAAAGCUCGUAGUUGAAAUGAAGGGUAGUUGUGUAAUGAAUACAUUCGUGUAUUUUGUUAUUCUACUACCCUCCUUCUAAAUUCGAUAUAUGAGUAUUAAUUUACUUGUAUAUGGUUUUAGACGUUUACUGUGAGAAAAUUAGAGUGUUCAAAGCAGGCAUUUGCUUGAAUAUAUUAGCAUGGAAUAAUCAUGUAUGAUUUUCAUGAUGUAUUUGAUUGGUUUGGUUCAUGAGAAUAAGAUUAAAAGGGACAGUUGGGGGUAUUCAUAUUCAAUAGUCAGAGGUGAAAUUCUCGGAUUUAUGGAAGAUGAACAAGUGCGAAAGCA
rnacentral:rRNA from 1 species